UCCUACGGGAGGCAGCAGUGAGGAAUAUUGGUCAAUGGGCGCAAGCCUGAACCAGCCAAGUAGCGUGCAGGAUGACUGCCCUAUGGGUUGUAAACUGCUUUUAUAGGGGAAUAAAGUGAGGUAUGUAUACCUUUUUGUAUGUACCCUAUGAAUAAGGACCGGCUAAUUCCGUGCCAGCAGCCGCGGUAAUACGGAAGGUCCAGGCGUUAUCCGGAUUUAUUGGGUUUAAAGGGAGCGCAGGCGGGCUUUUAAGCGUGUUGUGAAAUGUAACGGCUCAACCGUUGAAUUGCAGCGCGAACUGGAGGCCUUGAGUGAGUACGACGUGUACGGAAUUCGUGGUGUAGCGGUGAAAUGCUUAGAUAUCACGAAGAACUCCGAUUGCGAAGGCAGUGCACGAGUCCUUAACUGACGCUAAAGCUCGAAAGUGCGGGUAUCGAACAGGAUUAGAUACCCUGGUAGUCC
rnacentral:rRNA from 1 species